rnacentral:sRNA from 12 species
GGACCGCCCAACAGGGGCGGGGCGAACGAUUGCAAAAGCUUCGUUGUGCCCCAUGGCCAUACGGACAGCCGGGUCCACUGCCGA